CCUACGGGAGGCAGCAGUGAGGAAUAUUGGUCAAUGGGCGGGAGCCUGAACCAGCCAAGUCGCGUGAGGGACGACGGUCCUAUGGAUUGUAAACCUCUUUUGUCGGGGAACAAAGGCGCCCACGGGUGGGCGGAUGAGUGUACCCGAAGAAAAAGCAUCGGCCAACUCCGUGCCAGCAGCCGCGGUAAUACGGAGGAUGCGAGCGUUAUCCGGAUUUAUUGGGGUAAAAGGGUGCGUAGGCGGACAGUCAAGUUGGCGGUAAUAAUGCGGUGCUAAACGCCGUCCAGCCGUUGAAACUGGCAGGCUAGAGUGGGCGAGAGGUGUGCAGAAUGCGUGGUGUAGCGGUGAAAUGCAUAGAUAUGACGCAGAACACCGAUUGCGAAGGCGGCAUACCGG
rnacentral:rRNA from 1 species